GACGAACGCUGGCGGCGUGCUUAACACAUGCAAGUCGAACGGAAAGGCCCUGCUUUUGUGGGGUGCUCGAGUUGCGAACGGGUGAGUAACACGUGAGUAACCUGCCCUUGACUUUGGGAUAACUUCAUGAAACUGGGGCUAAUACCGGAUAGGAGCUCCUGCUUCAUGGUGGGGGUUGGAAAGUUUCGGCGGUUGGGGAUGGACUCGCGGCUUAUCAGCUUGUUGGUGGGGUAGUGGCUUACCAAGGCUUUGACGGGUAGCCGGCCUGAGAGGGUGACCGGCCACAUUGGGACUGAGAUACGACCCAGACUCGUAUGGGAGGCAGCAGUGGGGAAUAUUGUACAAUGGGCGGAAGCCUGAUGCAGCAACGCAGCGUGCGGGAUGACGGCAUUCGGUUUGUAAACCGCUUUCGCCUGUGACGAAGCGUGAGUGACGGUAAUGGGUAAAGAAGCACCGGCUAACUACGUG
rnacentral:rRNA from 1 species